CCUCCACAGGAGCAACACGUCGAAAAGGUAUGUGACGGACCUCCAUACGACGCCGUUUUAGGACGAUGUAAACAUCCGGUCCGGAGUCUAAACCGUUGCCGCCGCAUUAGAAAUCAAAGCUCCAAAUCAGAGAAACACAGGCGGAAAAAAAAAAAAAAAGAAAAAACGAGAACGGAGCCAUUGAUUCUAAUGGAGCUUCAUCGCAAGGACAAAAUCGCUUUAGUUGUAGCGUCUCUUGCAGCGCUAACAAUCUACUUUACGGCCAGACGGCGCCGGAAGCAGAGGAGCGUUCGUAGUUCGUGUUAUUUGCGAGAUGAUCAGAAGCCUCAGUACGCAUUUAAACGCGUCUUGGCUGACAAUUCUUAUUCUGCGUUCAAACAUUUGAAGCUCGAUAUGAAUACAGACAAUGAUGUAAACUCUCAUCCCUACGAAUCAGAAAUACUAUCGUUGUUGGAAAAUUCUUCGUCAGAAUUUGAUUUUAUUAGUAGUGAAAGAAACGAUUUUACCUUGAGUGACACUUAUGUUUGGGUUGAGACCGCUUCUCAAUUGGAAGAACUCGUGGAUGUGUUGAAUAAAGAAAUGGUGUUUGCUGUUGAUACCGAGCAGCACAGUCUAAGAUCUUUUCUGGGCUUCACUGCUUUAGUACAGAUUUCUACAGACAAGGAAGAUUAUUUGGUUGACACUAUAGCUCUACAUGAUUCGAUGAGUCUUCUACGUCCCGUCUUUGCCAAUAGUCAUAUUUGCAAGGUGUUUCAUGGUGCUGAUAAUGACAUUCUCUGGCUACAAAGGGACUUCCACAUAUAUGUAGUCAAUUUAUUUGACACUGCGAAGGCCUGUGAAGUGCUGUCAAAACCUCAGAAGUCACUGGCCUACUUACUAGAAACUUAUUGUGGGGUAGCUACGAACAAAAUGUUGCAGCGAGAAGAUUGGAGACUAAGACCCCUAUCAGAAGAUAUGGUGCGGUAUGCUAGGACAGAUGCCCACUACCUCCUACAUAUUGCAAACUGUUUACUUUCUGAGCUGAAACAGGUUAAUGCAGAAAACUCUUCCACCGAUGGUAAAUUCAAUUUUCUUCUUGAGGCUAGUCGGCGAUCAAACAUGAUUUGUUUGCAACUUUACACAAAAGAAACUGAAGGUUCUCCUGGAGAGUCUGCUGCAUCAUCAAUAUGUUACCGUCAUCUAAACAGUCAAUUAAAUUCCUUUAAAACUCAAUUUCAGGAUCAUGUGAGGAGAUUAUGUGCUUGGCGAGACUUAAUGGCUCGAGUUCAUGAUGAGAGCCUGAGAUAUGUGUUGUCAGAUCAGGCUAUUAUAGCUCUUGCUACUCAAAUGUCAAAAAAUACGAGGGAGUUAUAUGCAACUAUUGCACAAGCUGAUUUGAAUGUGGAUUUGAGCCCGAGUCUGCUUCUUCCAGGCCCCUCCCCUGUUGUUUGUAGCCAUUUGGAUGAUCUCCACUGUCUUCUCCGUGACAAGUCUGGUGACCUGGAUAAUAUAUUUUUGGGGAUUUUACAAAACUGUAUAGGUUCUAAUGGCAGUUGUCCCCUUUCUAUAUUUAAUUAUGCGCUGUUGGUCAAGUAUAAUCUAAAAAUGAUGACAAUAUCUAAAAAAAAUGAUAGAAGAAACGCAAAGAAAAUGUCUAAAAAAGCUUCUAGAGAGCUUUUUGUGCAGAAGUUCUCCUGCAAAUCUCCAGUUUAUCAUAAUUGUAGGAUUUAUGCAAAUGAUGGGCGCUUGCUUUGCUACUGUGAUCGGCGAAAACUUGAAUGGUAUUUGCGGCGAGAGUUGGCAGAGCUUGUUGAUGAUGAUCCUCCUGCCAUAAAGAUUCUUUUUGAACCUAAAGGCCGUCCAGAAGAUGAGGGCAAUGACUUUUAUAUCCAGAGCAAAAAGAAUAUAUGUGUUGGUUGUGGUGAAGGAAACCACUAUUUACGUUAUCGAAUAAUCCCCUCAUGCUACAGAAUACAUUUUCCUGAGCAUUUAAAAAGUCAUCGUUCCCAUGAUAUUGUCUUACUUUGUGUGGAUUGUCAUGAAGUUGCCCAUGCUGCUGCUGAGAAGCACAAGAGAAAUCUUGCUGCAGAAUUUGGAAUUCCACUUUUUGUUCGUAGGGUGGUUGAUACCAAGGAGGCCUUUGAUUUAGUUGAGUCAUCUGACUCGGCCACCAACUUUCAGGAGGAAGGUGUGUCACCUUUAGAAUUAAGAACAGCUGCUAUGGCCCUGUUGCGGCAUGGACCAAGGAUGCCACCAAAACGUCAAGAGGAACUCAUGCAUGUUGUUAUGAGAUACUAUGGGCGGAGGGAGAUAUCUGAAGAAGAUUUGGAAAAGGCUCUGCUUGUUGGCAUGAGUCCUCAUGAGAGAAGACGACUUCAGAAGAAAAAGGGUAUAGCUUUGAAACAUUCAGGACAGCAUAUUUUUCCAGAUGCUGAGCAUCAGAAUGGUGCUUGUAGCAUUGACUCAUCGACUGUGACUAAUUCAUCCAUUGAUGCAGAUGCAGAUGCAGAUGUUAACAAUCACAUGAACUCAGAUAAUGGUACCGUGCCCGAAACAUGUUUGCCUUGUGGAGAGGUCAAAGUUUCUGAUAACGGCUCCGCCAUAACUGCUCAACCUAAAUUCAAUUCUAAAUUGUCACUCUUGGGACAUGGACCACAUGGUAAACAAGUAGUGGAUCAUCUACUUGCAGAAUAUGGCGAGGAUGGCAUCCGACAGUUUUGUCAAAGGUGGAGACAAGUGUUUGUUGCUGCUAUUCAACCUCGUUUCUUACCCGCUGGUUGGGAUGUCAACCACAGUGGUAGAAGGGACUUCGGCGAAUUCAGUGUGUACAAUUCUAUAAAGAAACUUUCCCCUACUAUUGAGUAGGACCAUUUGAAGCACUGCAAAAUUCUCAUGUUGCAUGUAAUGCCAGCAUCACAUUCUAUGCUAGGAAUUAGCAGAUUAUCUUCUCGUCAUUCCCACAAGUAAAAUCUCUCCAUUUGAAUGGUGCACGUUAUGUUUCUGUUAUUUUUAAUGUCUCUGCACUGAGGAAGUUGGUUUAUUCAACUUUGUGCAGAUUUUGUGUAUUAAAAGAUUAAGAUGGCGGCAUUGUCCUUGUCCCCAUCUUCAUAGCUUAGCGGAUAUAAUUUGCAAAGGAAGGGAACUGCAGUAGAGCUUACCUACAAUUUAAAUGGAAUUCAUUACUGAAGUCAUUUCCAGGAGCCAGAAAAAAGUGAAAAAGGCAGAGGCUUAGAAUAAGAAUGGGCAGCUCGAUGGGUAAAAGGCUGUGCAACAAGCUGGUGGGUAUGCACAGAAAACGUAGCAAUCAGAGUGGGUGUGGUGCUGGAAGAUUAGAAUGCCAACCUUAGUUCUCUUCUAAGUUUCACCUAUUAGAGACUUAUUAAAUUUCCAUAUGAUUUUACUGCAUUUUCAUGGCCAUAUGUAUUGAAACUAUAGGUUUCUUUUGAUCGUAUUACAUUUUUCUUCAUCAACCUAGCUCAAUUGACAUAAGUUACGUAUUCUCGA